rnacentral:rRNA from 1 species
CUUCGGGAUAAUGUCAUCCCGCAAGGGAUUUCCGAAAGGGGCACUAAUACUGAAUAACAUUUCCGGUCGCAUGACCGGUUCUCAAAGAUUUAUCGGUACCAGAGCGGCCUAUCUCCUAUCAGCUAGUUGGUGAGGUAACGGCCCACCAAGGCGAUGACGGGUAGCGGGGCUGAGAGGUUGGCCCGCCACAUCGGAAUUGAGAAACUGUCCGGACCUCCACGGAGGGCUGCAGUAACGAAUAUUGGGCAAUGGGCGAAAGCCUGACCCAGCGACGCCGCGUGCAGGAUGAAGUACUUCGGUAUGUAAACUGCUGUCGGGGUGAAGAAAGACCGCAAGGUUUGAUCUAACCCAAAGGAAGCAACGGCUAACUUCGUGCCAGCAGCCGCGGUAAUACGAAGGUUGCAAGCGUUGUUCGGAAUCACUGGGCUUAAAGCGUAUGUAGGUGGACAAGAAAGCGUUUUGUGAAAUACCCCGGCUUAACCGGGGAAUUGCUUGGCGAACUACUUGUCUUGAGGCAAGCAGGGGUGCAUGGAACUCUUGGUGGAGCGGUGGAAUGCGUAGAUAUCAAGAGGAACGCCAGCGGAGAAAUCGGUGCACUGGGCUUGUUCUGACACUGAGAUACGAAAGCGUGGGGAGCAAACGGGAUUAGAUACCCCGGUAGUCCACGCCCUAAACGAUGCCUACUAGGUCGUAGGAACUCUGACGUUCUUAUGGCCGAAGCAAAAGUGUUAAGUAGGCCGCCUGGGAAGUACGGUCGCAAGGCUAAAACUCAAAGGAAUUGACGGGGGCUCACACAAGCGGUGGAGCAUGUGGAUUAAUUCGAAACAACGCGCAGAACCUUACCUGGGUUUGACAUGCUUGGAUGGUUGCCUGGAAACAGGUUAAUCUGCUCGCAAGAGUGAAACUUGCACAGGUGCUGCAUGGCUGUCGUCAGCUCGUGUCGUGAGAUGUCGGGUUAAGUCCCUUAACGAGCGAAACCCUUGUCGUUAGUUACCAUCAGGUUAUGCUGGGGACUCUAACGAGACCGCCGGUGUUAAACCGGAGGAAGGCGGGGAUGACGUCAAGUCCUCAUGGCCUUUAUGCCCAGGGCCUCACACGUGCUACAAUGGAACGUACAAAGCGUCGCAAUGCCGCAAGGUGGAGCAAAUCGCACAAAACGUUCCUCAGUUCAGAUUGCAGGCUGCAACUCGCCUGCAUGAAGUUGGAAUCGCUAGUAAUCGCGGAUCAGCUACGCCGCGGUGAAUGUGUUCCUGAGCCUUGUACACACCGCCCGUCAAGUGAUGGGAGUCGGAAGUACCCGAAGUCGGGUUGUUAACCGCAA